AGAGGAUACUAAUGACACCCAAUCUUGCGAGAAAGUUAUAUGAGAUGGCUUGGAGUUUGGCCAUGUCCUGAACUGGGUCUGCAUGUGCCAUCAUGUGAUGAUGAAGGGGUUAAAAGGAGACGAAAUAGACUUCCAAUCAUAUAUAGAGAAGUUUUACAUGACCGUUGGUGCAUAUGUGAAACCUAUGAGAAGAAUCCAGAGGCAACAUGCCAACAUCUAUAUGUUGAACCGGGAAAUGGUAUGAAGAUCAAAUUUUGGCAGGCUUACUGGUUUAGUCACAUCCCUCGUAAGGAGGAAUUUAAAAACUUAUUCAGUUUCAGCCACAUCCUAAAUGUACAAUAGCCUAUUGUAGAGAAAAUGAUAGGUGGAGUAUCACUUCAAGAGGAGAGCCAAGACUGGAAACUGGAGAGGAUUACCUCCUUGUUGACAACUGAAUUGAAAAAGUGGAUUAUUGAAAAGGAAGAUUAAGUGAGAUGCAAAAGAGGUUUACUGUAUACGGGUGUUAUCAUAUGCUUCAGAACGGAGGAACGAAUCUUGGAUUUGGCCUUGUCGAUUAAUCUGAAAAACUAAGGCUCCUCUAUGAGUGUCUUGUUUUAAUUGGACAGCACAAAAUGAAGCAUGUAUCACUCAAUCUGAGCAAGAGAGAGACUGGUUUGUGCAAUAGGUGAUGAAAUGUGAAAGAAGGAUAUGUAGGACAGCAUCUCUUUUUUUCCUACACUGUGACGUGAUUACUGACAUACAGAAUAUGUUUCUAAAUCUACCUGGGCUCCCGUGGUAAUGCCGAAUCCCUUAGAGAUACAUAUCAUAGUUGAAGAGGAAAAAGGCCAUAGAACUCUCUGAGAAAGCUUGGUCACACAAUCUAAUGCAUCGUGUUGGCCCUUAUGGAUGGAAAGGCACUGUAGAUGUUCUAAUGGAAUUUCAGAAGCUAAUCACAUUCGAAUCUUGCUGUUUGGUGUAUAGCUUGAAUAAUGUGAAUAAUUUAAUGGACUUCAUAUGCUCCCUACAACUAUUAGAUUGGGGCUGUUUUAGUAUAUUAAAUUUGUCUCCCCAUACUCCCAAUUUCACUUGGUCAAACAACAGCAACAAACCCAAGAAAUCCCAAGGGGUCUGGGAGGGUAAAGUGUACACAAACCUUACCUCUACCUUAUGGCGGUAGAGAGUUUGUUUCCGAAAGACUCUCGGCUCAUGAAUGGUGAAAAUAAAGCAAUAAACAAAUAAUAGCAACAACAAGGUAAUAAGACAUGGAAGCAAAUGGUGCAACGUAAACGUGUAAUAACAAAGAUCCAAGAAUACGAUACUACAACAAUAGAGCCAAUCCUACUGGAAAUAAUUCGCUUGGUCAAAAUUAAAACUAAAAGAAAUCAAAACAUUAGAAGCUCCAAUUUUACAGCAAACUUGGCAGCAAGUCCAAUAAGCAUAAUAAUGAAGUAAAGGAGACUUACAGAGAGGAGAUAGCACAGACCCACUGAAGAUUUGUAGGAGUAAGUGGUGCAGCAUAACAAACAGCCCCUCCACGCCUCUUCCUCAUCAUCCCUCCACUCAAAUCAAUUGAAACUCUGAAAGAAAACAAAACGAUUAAAGAGGGAAAAUAGACCAAAACUUGAAAUGAAUUUCUCAUAUUGAAUCAUUCAAAUAAAUGACAAUUAACAUACCUGAGAGGGUUAUAUCCAAGAAAACUGGAGCUGUGCUGUAACUUGUGAUGAGAAAUCCUAGUGUGAUGACAUUGAGGAGAUCUCAAAGCAUAGCGCUGCUUAUUGUAGGAAGCAAAACAGUGUGUAGGAGUAGAAAGGGAAAGAGAAAGAGAAAGGCUC
rnacentral:lncRNA from 1 species